UACGGAGGAUGCGAGCGUUAUCCGGAUUUAUUGGGUUUAAAGGGUGCGUAGGCGGGAUGCCAAGUCAGCGGUAAAAAUGCGGUGCUCAACGCCGUCGAGCCGUUGAAACUGGCGUUCUUGAGUGGGCGAGAAGUAUGCGGAAUGCGUGGUGUAGCGGUGAAAUGCAUAGAUAUCACGCAGAACUCCGAUUACGAAGGCAGCAUACCGGCGCCCUACUGACGCUGAGGCACGAAAGCGUGGGUAUCGAACAGG
rnacentral:rRNA from 1 species